rnacentral:rRNA from 1 species
GACUGUGCUAAGGUAGCAUAAUAAUUUGCCUUUUAAUUGAAGGCUGGAAUGAAAGGGUUAACUUGAGUUAAUCUGUCUCUUUUUAGUUAUAAAACUUAAGUUUUAAGUGAAAACGCUUAAAUGAUUUAGAGGGACGAGAAGACCCUUCAGAUCUUCCCCGAAUAAAUGUGAAAGGUUAAAAUUUACUUUUAGGGUUACCUGGGAGGGGGUUUGAAUAAUAAACUUCAUAAUAAAUUUAAGACAAAUUCUGUCUAACUUGUAGAUCCUGAUUGGAAAGAUGAAAAGAUACCUGAGGGAUAACAGCGUAA